GGCAAGAUGGCCGAGCGGUCCAAGGCGCUGCACUCAAGUUUCCUCAACUUGUUCCUGCAUCAACAGGAAUGCAUUGCAGUCUCGAAAGGGGCGUGGGUUCGAAUCCCACUCUUGUCA